AGUUAGAAAUGACUGCUAAUACCGCAUAAGACCACAGCACCGCAUGGUGCAGGGGUAAAACUCCGGUGGUAUGAGAUGGACCCGCGUCUGAUUAGUUAGUUGGUGGGGUAACGGCCUACCAAGGCGGCGAUCAGUAGCCGACCUGAGAGGGUGACCGGCCACAUUGGGACUGAGACACGGCCCAAACUCCUACGGAGGCAGCAUG
rnacentral:rRNA from 1 species